GUCUCUGAGGCACUUAAGAAGGAAUAAAUGUGCAUGAUGCAGCCCGUCUUUACCCAGCAGUGCAAGAAUGUUGGGGUAGCUCAGCAAGAAACCAUCAAAAUGCUCUCCUUCACAGAAAGACAAAUUAGUGAUCUCAAGGACAGCUAUGGGCAAAAACCAAGAGAAGACAUGUUUUCUUGGCUAUCUCAGGUAGUUGAUGAGGAGUGACAGAACAUUCUGCUGUCAUGAAAAGAAUGGCACAGCCUGGGUAGAUUGGCUCACAACCCAGUGUUGCAGCAGAUGUUCAGGGUGAUCCAACAAGCUACAGGUGUAGAUCACCACGCCCACAAGCUGGAAUCUUUACUUAUUUGGUUGGUGUCUAGCAUUCUAGGCUCUUUUCCCAUCCAGGGUGGUUUGCCUAAGCUUCCAUUGUGCCCUUGGCAGUCAGGACAUGAGGCUGGCACAGCCUUGUGCAGGGUGGCCCCGGGCUCAUGGCUAUCCAACCUCCAGAAGGGGGAAUUGGAUGAUACAAUACUGUUUAGAUGCAAUAUUGAUGACUUCAUAGAGCAGGGCCCUUGGCC
rnacentral:lncRNA from 1 species